UUAUGAAUCACCUGGAGAUCUUGUAAAAUGUAGGUUCUGAUUGAGUAUAUCUUGAGAAGGGCCUGAGAUUCUGCAUUUCUAACAAGCUGUAGGUGAUACGUUU
rnacentral:miRNA from 1 species